rnacentral:rRNA from 1 species
CUACGGGCGGCAGCAGUGAGGAAUAUUGCACAAUGGGGGGAACCCUGAUGCAGCAACGCCGCGUGGAGGAUGACGCAUUUCGGUGUGUAAACUCCUUUUAUAUGUCAAGAAAAUGACGGUAGCAUAUGAAUAAGCACCGGCUAACUCCGUGCCAGCAGCCGCGGUAAUACGGAGGGUGCAAGCGUUACUCGGAAUCACUGGGCGUAAAGGACGCGUAGGCGGGCUUGUAAGUCAGGUGUGAAAUCCUACAGCUUAACUGUAGAACUGCACUUGAAACUACGAGCCUAGAGUAUGGGAGGGGGAGAUGGAAUUAGUGGUGUAGGGGUAAAAUCCGUAGAUAUCACUAGGAAUACCUAAAGCGAAGGCGAUCUCCUGGAACAUAACUGACGCUAAGGCGUGAAAGCGUGGGGAGCAAACAGGAUUAGAUACCCCUGUAGUC